GCCCAUCUGUCACCGUUUUAAAAGGGCCAUAUGACCUUUCACCACCUUCCCCCCAUUUCUUCUUCUUACCAUCCCUGUGCCUCUAUCUUUCCAUGCCCGGCCCAGCCGCCGACCCACCAUCGUUGUCAUCGUCCUCUACGCACUAGUCCUGCAUCCAAUAUCAGUCAAGCUAUAGUGGGCGGUACCUUUUGUGCUUAAAUUAUAGGCUAUCCCUACCAUGGACGGCAGAUUCAACAGUAACCCAUUUGUUAGUGAACAAGAAGAGCAGGAAAACUCACCGGAAAAUAGUGGAGACUCGCCACCUUCUCCUAUGUUUAAUGAUGCAAAGAUCUCUUCUUCUACGUCUUCCCCCAAACGAAGGUUUGUAUCACCACCCAAUUAUACAUAUUGCUUCGUUUUCUUUGCAUGAAUUACUGAGAUUCCGUGUAAGAAGCAUAGUCUGAUAAGAAUAGGAUAUGGGGUUUGUUUCAGUAGGCGAGCCAUGCAAAAGAGAGUGGUGUCAGUGCCCAUCAAGGAUGUGGAAGGCUCACGAGUCAAGGGGGACUGUGC
rnacentral:lncRNA from 1 species